rnacentral:misc_RNA from 1 species
GAUGAAGAACGCAGCGAAAUGCGAUAAGUAAUGUGAAUUGCAGAAUUCAGUGAAUCAUCGAAUCUUUGAACGCACAUUGCGCCCGCCAGUAUUCUGGCGGGCAUGCCUGUUCGAGCGUCAUUACAACCCUCAGGCCCCCGGGCCUGGCGUUGGGGAUCGGCGGAGCCCCCCGUGGGCACACGCCGUCCCCCAAAUGCAGUGGCGGUCCCGCCGCAGCUUCCAUCGCGUAGUAGCUAACACCUCGCGACUGGAGAGCGGCGCGGCCACGCCGUAAAACACCCAACUCUUCUGAAGUUGAUCUCGAAUCAGGUAGGAAUACCCGCUGAACUUAAGCAUAUCAAUAAGCGGAGGA